AGCAGCCGCGGUAAUUCCAGCUCCAAUAGCGUAUAUUAAAGUUGUUGCAGUUAAAAAGCUCGUAGUUGAAUUUCGGGAUCAGAUUGUCGGUCGUGCCUCGGUACGCACUGGCAUUAUUGGUUCCUACCUUCUGAAGGACCGCGAUGUCAUUAAUUUGGUGUCGUGGGGAAUCAGGACUGUUACUUUGAAAAAAUUAGAGUGUUUAAAGCAGGCGCACGCUUGAAUACAUUAGCAUGGAAUAAUGAAAUAGGACUUUUGAUUCUAUUUUGUUGGUUUCUAGGAUCGACGUAAUGAUUAAUAGGGAUAGUUGGGGGCAUUAGUACUCAAUUGUCAGAGGUGAAAUUCUUGGAUUUAUUGAAGACUAACUACUGCGAAAGCAUUUGCCAAGGAUGUUUUCAUUAAUCAAGAACGAAAGUUAGGGGAUCGAAGACGAUCAGAUACCGUCGUAGUCUUAACCAUAAACUAUGCCGACUAGGGAUCGGAUGAUGUUAAUUUUUAAUGUACUCACUUCGGCGUACCG
rnacentral:rRNA from 1 species